rfam:Dipodomys ordii contig_64264, whole genome shotgun sequence.
GGGAAAGUGGCUCAGUGGUAGAGUGCUUGCUUUGCAUGCAUGAAGACCUGGGUUUAUUCCUCAGCACCA